CCUACGGGUGGCAGCAGUGGGGAAUAUUGGACAAUGGGCGAAAGCCUGAUCCAGCCAUGCCGCGUGUGUGAAGAAGGCCUUCGGGUUGUAAAGCACUUUCAGUGGGGAAGAAAGCCUUGGGGCUAAUACCCUCGAGGAAGGACAUCACCCACAGAAGAAGCACCGGCUAACUCCGUGCCAGCAGCCGCGGUAAUACGGAGGGUGCGAGCGUUAAUCGGAAUUACUGGGCGUAAAGCGCGCGUAGGCGGUCUGAUAAGCCGGUUGUGAAAGCCCCGGGCUCAACCUGGGAACGGCAUCCGGAACUGGCAGGCUAGAGUGCAGGAGAGGAAGGUAGAAUUCCCGGUGUAGCGGUGAAAUGCGUAGAGAUCGGGAGGAAUACCAGUGGCGAAGGCGGCCUACUGGACUGACACUGACGCUGAGGUGCGAAAGCGUGGGUAGCAAACAGGAUUAGAUACCCGAGUAGUC
rnacentral:rRNA from 1 species